UCCACACAGCUUAUCUAAUUAGCAUAAACUAGAUACAUCAGUCAACCAAUAAGGAAUCUCCACACUUAAUGGCUCGCUUUUGAUACUUCUCAAACCACUCCCUCUGGCAUUUUGCCAGGCACCAUCCAGACUUGUUUACAACUCUAACAUUCCCCUGGCAAAAUGCCAGGUGUUAUUUUGACUUGUUUACAGACUCUAACAUUAUCUAUUUACACAAAGUGGGUAGGAUUGAGGGGGCCAACCAGGAUGACACACAGAUACCAGCCAUGGCAGGAGUCACACUCACCCCUGGGCAGCAGAUGAGGGUCUCUGGUGCCCAGAACCCAAGGAGCAGUCAGUGCACCGGAGGGGCAUGGCAGGAACCUGUAUGUCAGGGUCUCCUAAUAUUUUUUCAAGAAUAAGUAUAGACUGCUGGCAAAAUCUCCAAACUCCUAAAUGUUGUCAGGGCUGGGGGUGCGGCUCAGCAGUAGAGCGCUUGUAAAGCAGGCUCAGUGCCCAGGGUUCAAUCCCCAGCUCCUCCAAAGUGUAGAUAUACACAUUAAAUACUGACAACCAAUCUGAAAGAAUUUGAAACACAGCACAGACAUCUUUCCUCAAAAAAGAAACAUAUCCAGACCAAAUGCAAGCCGUUUAUGACCUCUGUUCUAGACUUUCAGCGCAUCUACCCCUUCGGAACUUUCUCCUGCUUGACUGUUUGUUCCUCUCCUCUUUGGUUCCUUGGUCCCUUGAUCUCCGACCUCUUUGGCUCUCUCGGGAUAGACAAUGUGGAUUGCGGGUCAUUUGAUUCUGUCCAAUUGCUCUGCAGAAUGUGAUCGGUGGGUGGGCAGAAGGAAAGGGAGGGGCUUCAGAGACUACAAAAUGGAGACUAAGUGGGGACCAAGAGGUCCUCCCUGUAGUCUAACUUCAGGCUUGAGAGUCCAUAAGGUGUUAUGAGAUAUCUAUAGAGCUACAGCGUCAGUGUCACCAGGGAGCUUCUUAGGGAAGCCGAGCUCCAGCCCCACUCAACACCUGCUGAAGCAGGACUCUGGGCUGGUCUCCCAGGGAAGCUGUGCGUGAACAAGUCCUCCAGGUGGUCCAGGCAGAAACUUCAGUACUGAAGUUUGAGGUUAGACCCCUGGGUGUUUUGUGCUAAAGUCAUUUCUGUCUCUCUCUCCAUCUUAAGUUGUGUUUCCCAAUCCCCUCCCCCAUUACCUUGGCCAGAUUCCAAAAAGAAAUGGUAUGCCUCUCAUCAUACCGAGAACCUUGAUUAACUCUGUCCCCUGCCACUGGAAUAUGUACUCUAAUAACAAGCAAGUAACCCAGUUACAAUGUGGGUAAAAUUUUACAAAGACACAUAAGUGAUCAAUAAACACACUAAAAGGUGUUCAAUAUCAUUAAUCACUAAGGAGAUGCAAAUUGAAACCUCAAUGAGACACCACUACACACCAACACAACAGCUAAAAUUAAUGACCAACAAUAGGAAGUGUUUGCUAGGAUGCAGAGAAGCUGAAACUUGCGUAUGUUGAUGAGGACAAUGCAAAAUGGGACAAUAUUGGGUCUCUUAACAUAAGAUCCAAGCAGACAUAAUUCUAUUCCUAGGCAUUUG
rnacentral:lncRNA from 1 species